GGAAGGAUCAUUCACACAUUUGUUGCCUUCUAGGCGACACAACGUCUCGUGAAAACAGUCCCAAGAGUAGUAGCUAAGGUGCUUGCACUUUAGUGAACCUGUUGGUUUGACAACUUUUUAUUUGUGAGCGCCACUCGUGGCAAUCAUGAAACAAACAAACAAUAACAGACCCUUAACGAUGGAUACCUCGGCUCGUGAAGCGAUGAAGGACGCAGCUAGGUGCGAUAAGCACUGUGAAUUGCAGAAUUCCGCGAACCAGUAGAUCUCUGAACGCAUUUUGCGCAAAUGGAGUUUACUUCAUUUGCAGGUCUGUAUCAGCGUUGUUAACACAAAUCGCACAAACAUAUAUUCCCCGGAAUUGUUGUCUUGUGUGGUGUGAGUGAAGUGGCAACACUAAACUCAGCUUUGUGCGUUACCUACUGUUAAGUCAGUUCGUACGCAUUAUUACAGUUAAACAUAAGCGGGUUGUUGGCUUGCCAAUGACUGCUGCUGUGUUAAGGCAUACGACUUCUUCGGUAUCAUUGCGAUCCGUGUAGUCUGUUGGUCUAGUAGGUUCGCCUAAUUAGCACCAUAAACUACCAGGUCUGCUAAUUGACACUGUUAACGUGUGCACACUUAUCUUUACCAACCUGAUACAGCCCAGACAACCCGCUGAAUUUAAGCAUAUCAGUAAGCGGAGGAAAAGAAACUAACUAGGAUUCCCUUAGUAAUGGCGAAUGAACAGGGAUGAGCCCAGUGCCCAAUCGUGCAUCGCAAGGUGUACGACAUGUGGUUUUGGUGGCUGACCAGUGGUAUCUUGGGUAGAAGUCCCUUGGAAAAGGGCGCCUGGGAGGGUGAAAGCCCCGUCCAUUACUCGAUGUAUACCACGUACGGUCGCUGCUUAAGGAGUCGCGUUCCUUGGGAUUGGAGCGCAAACAGGUGGUAAGUUCCAUCUAAGGCUAAAUAUGACCACGAGACCGAUAGCAAACAAGUACCGUGAGGGAAAGGUGAAAAGAACUUUGAAAAGAGGGUUAAAAGUGCUUGAAAUCGUUAAGGGGGAAGCGAAUAUUGCGGUUGAAUUUGUGCUUGUAAGGAUCGCUUGUUGCUUGGAGUGGUGCUUGUAACGUUAGGGCAACCAAUUGUUACGGGUUUAAGCUGUAAGUGUCGAGUUUCUCCUUAUGAGCAUAAGUAACGCCAACCUCUUGUUUGGAGGCAAGUCGUGGAUGGGGUGCAAGCUCAUGGGUUUCGCAUCACGCUGCGGCGACUUCAGCGAGGAGUUGACAAAUAAUUGCUUGGUUUCACUGGUGGGCGCUCAUUUCUGAACAUUUCAAUUCGUCACUCUGUGACGAGCUGAUCGGUUUGGGGGUGACUCGCUUGUCUGUAUCUAAGUAAGGAGCGUUACUAACAACGGCGAUAUUUGUCCCGUCUUGAAACACGGACCAAGGAGUCUAACGUGUAUGCGAGUGUGCGGAUUGAAAAUCCAUGCGCGUAAUGAAAGUGAUUGUAGUGACUGUUCCCUCGGGGGCAGGCAACUACGGCCGACCUUGAUCCUCGGUGACAGGUUUGAGUAUGAGCAUACCCGUUAGGACCCGAAAGAUGGUGAACUAUGCCUGAGUAGGGUGAAGCCAGGGGAAACUCUGGUGGAGGCUCGUAGCGAUACUGACGUGCAAAUCGUUCGUCAAACUUGGGUAUAGGGGCGAAAGACUAAUCGAACCAUCUAGUAGCUGGUUCCCUU
rnacentral:misc_RNA from 1 species